GCCACCGAGAAUCCGAGUCUGUCACACAGACAUCCUCAUUACAUCAUCCUGCCACUCUGGGCCGCUGGGCUCUGCCCCCCUCCCCUCUCCCCCACCCCUUCCUUUUUACUGUCUUCUUUUUGGUGUCGGGGAGGACUGGAGAGAAUCCUGAAAGAUACUGAAGCAUUGAGAAUUUAUGGUUGUGUUGCUGUGGUUGUCACCUCCGCUCUACGUCAAAUUUAAGACUCAUUUCUUAAGGAUGUCUCUAUUUUCUGCUUUAUUUGCACAUUGAUGGCUCUGCUGCUCGGCUGGCCGCGGCCGCCGGCGUCUGAGAUAGACUUGUGUUGAUAUGUGAAAGGGAAGAACUGAUCAUUAGCAGGCAGACGGGAUUCAGAUAGCAUCUGGCGGGUUUUCUCCGUUUUCAUGUAAAAGCUUUCACGUUUUUGCUGCUCAGCACGAGGUUUUAACUUUUUCUUUUGGUAGUGGUGACGAUAUCUUCCCCUCUCCGCCUCUUCUUCCCCGUUUGUCCAUCAGCUUUCCCGUUUGGGAACCUGCUUACUUGUUAGCAGAAGUUCGCUGGGCUCUGGUCACUGAAGCCUUCUCCCCAGCAGAGGUGGGAGCUCUCUUCUCUCGUAUGCAAGGUUACCAAAAGGACUGUUUGUUUUUUUGUUUUUGUUUUUGUUUUUUUUUUUGGCUUAGUAUUGCAUUUGUAUCUUUCUGAACAUUUUAACUUAGACUAGGGAUAGGUAUGCCCUGGUUGUUUUUAACGUAGGACUUCAAACAAUUCUGAUUUUUUUUUAAACUUGCUAAGGGUUUAUUGGUUUGUCAUGUCUGCAACGAUCCAAUCAUGCACAACUCUUAAAAUUUAAAGCUUUCAAAUAAGAUCCACAAUUGUAUUGCCAAGACAUGGCUGAGAGCUUGCCCUUGGAGUUUUGGCUGUGCAGUUGUCAUUGUUUAAAUCAAGUGCAAAAGAGGUUAUUCCUGUUUAUUUAGUGUAAUAACUGUUUACAGUUAAAACUUUAAAGACUCAUAAAAGUAGGGCUGCUGUAUUUUACAGAUCUCAUCCUCCUUGUGGGAGAGACACACCACCACCCUAGGAAAGGCAACAGAUUGUUCCUGUCAUAUCGCUUUGCUGUUUUGGCGUGUACUUAAAGGAUUAUGAUUGAUAAGGCUGUCUUGCCAGAGAAUGUUGACACAGGUGGUAAGUGUGAUGCUUCUAUAAUACAUUUGGAUGUUUUCAGCUAAGUUCACUCUGGACUCUGGGGCUCCUCCAGAUGUUGGCUGAAAUUUGUCCUUGCCCCUCCCCAGGCUCCUGCACAAAACCUACAGUUCAUAAUGGAGCUACUGUACUGGCUGUGGAAGGAGGAGAUUCUGAAGAUAGGGAGAUUCAGCUAUCGGUCUUUGAAAUUUCCUGUGGUCUGUUCAUUCUAGAUGCAAAGGACAUGGAAAAAUCAAGUGCUCAAGUGGUUUAAAUAUGUUUGGAUGUUCCUAUUUAUAGACUACAGCAUUUUUCCAAUUAAAAUCCUCAGUUGUCAUGCAGAAGAAGGUUAUGUUUUUCUUGAUCACCACUUUUAUUUGAAAUGCUUAGUAUUGUAGAGUAUCACCAUUUUCUGUUUUAGUCAAAAGUAUAGAAAAAAUUAAAUCAAUUUUAUAUAUUGAAUUUUUUUCUAAAAUGUCUUUAUUGGAUUGAACGAAUGUUUAUACCUGAAAAAAAAGGGUUAAAAAAUGCCUUUCUCCAUCCUAGCAAUUCUUCUGGCAAUCUGAUAUUAUUAGAGUAGGUUUAAAAUCACCUUCUAACAUGACUCUGGUAUAUUCUUGGGAGAAAAAAGACUUGAAAGGCAUCUGUAUAUAUAUUUUAUUCUCCAUAUUAGUCUCCCUGGAAUAGAACAUUUUUUCCUGAGACAAAUCUAUUAGCUCAACUCAGAUACCAGAAAAAAUUGCCCUAACUGGCAGAGCAUUUGUUAUGUGUUUGAAUGUUUGAUUUACAUAAAGAAGGUUGACAUCCAUUUCUUUCACAGAGUUCUUACAUUUGGGUAGAAUAAUGACAGGUUGCCUUGCCAUUGGGAAAUUCCUUGUUGUGGCCUUUGUGGCAGCUGUAGGAACACGGAAGGACUCCUCUGUGGCAGGCAGGCCUCCGGCCUCUGUGGUGUGAACACUGAGAAAGGGGUCUGUCUGGCCGGAGAGAGCCCCUGGCGAGGGAGCUGGGCAGACUCACAGAUGCUGAUGACGCUUGUAGACGCUGCUGGGAGUUGCUGUUUUGUGAGUGACCCAGAUUGUACUUCAUCCACUUCUGUAGUUUUUACAAAGGGUCAAAGUGCUGUGAUGAAUUCUUAAGCUCAGAUCUCAAUGUGGCAAAAUAAAUUUAUUAGGCUAGAGUAUUUCUGUUUUUAUUUUUAAUUAAACUUUGUAUUUUGAGAGAAUUAUAGGUUUCACAUGCAGUUGUACUAAGGAAUGGAGAGGUCCCCCUGCACUUUACCCAGUUUCCCCCAACAGUAACAUCUUGCAAUAUCUAGUGUAAUAUUACAGCCUGGACGUUGACAUUGAUACAGUCCAGAUACAGAACAUUUCCAUCACCACAAGCACUCCUUGAAGUGCGUUUUUAAAUGCGUACUCCCUUCUCUCCUGCCCCCCCUCAUCCCCUCCCCACCUUAACCCUAGCAACUACUAGUCUGUGCUGCAUUUCUAUAAUUUGUCUCUUUAAGAAUGUUAUAUAAAUGAAAUCAUAUAGUUUGUAACCUUUUGGAAUUUUGCCUUUUCUCAGCAUAAUUUUCUGGAGAUUCGACUUGCCUGUAUGAAGAGUUUGUUCUUUCUCAGUGUUGGGUAGUAUUCCGUGGUCUGGUUGUCCCACGGUUCGUUUAACCGUUCACCAUUGGGGCUGUUGGGAGCUUCAGUGUUGUUUUUGGGUUUUGACUAUCAUGAAUAAAACUGCUGUAAACAUUCUUGUGCAGGUUUUUGUGUGAACGUAAGUUUUCAUUUCCCUGGGAUAAGUGCCCAGGAGUGCAGUUGUGGCUCAUCUGAUAAUUACAUAGAGAACUGCUUUUUGAAACUCACCUUGAUUCUGUGUGUGUGGAAGCGGAGACAAGGAGGACAUCCACAUUUUUGUGGCAUUUUUACUUUAACUGCAUUUGUUUAUGAUUUUAAAACAUACAGACUAUCUUAAAUAACGUGUAGCCAGAUAUCCAAAAACAUUUUCCACAACCUAGAUUCUGUUCUUAUUUUUGAGUAGUGCUUUUGAAAAAAAUUGCUUCUUUUUUGGGGUAAAAUGUUUGUGUAAUGGAAUAAAGGGAGACAUACACUAUAGAAAAGAUGUUGCAAAGCUGACAGGUUACUUGGAAAAACUGGGGGAUUUUCCAGGUGUUGACAGAGACCUGACAUUCCAGAAUGCCUUGUGAUAGUUUCUGAAUUGAGAGACUAGCGUUUGUCACUGUCCUCUCCCCCAUAGUUUUUGUGUGUAGAAUUAAGUCACUAUCUUUACAAUUUGUGUUCAGUAGAAUUGCAUUUAACGCUCAUUUAGUUCAACUCUAUACACUUAGUAGGAAAAAGAGGGAAAGAAGAAACGAAAAGUAUCUUUUCCUAGUAUGGCUCCUGAAAAUGCAACUACUUUACAGAUGCUUAAUGGGAGAAACGGCUUAGUUCCAAACCUGGAAAUUAUACUGUUAUGCUUACUGAGACUUAGUGAGGUAUGUACAAAACCAUCUGUGCUAUAUUUCUAGGGAGACCCACUGGAAAGAUUUUCAAGGGUAAUUUUUACUCUUAUUUUCUACCAUAUAUAUUGACUUUAGAACUCUCACUGAAGAUGCAGUUCCAUUUCUUUUUUAGAAACAUUGGAUAUCAUUAGCUAGUUAUGGUGAUCUUUCUAACAAAAGCCAAUAUUAUCAAUCUUUAGCUUUUUUGAGUGAGACACUAGGCUCUUUCAAUCUUUCAAUGCUUCUAAAUGUAAUUUCACCUUUAGCCCAUUGUGGUCAUGACCAUAGUGAUAUAAAUGACAUAAGAUAAUAAAAUAGUCCUUGCCCUUAAAAAUGACCUAAAUAAAAGAUAUGUGUACACUUGGAAUCUUUAAGUAUCAGUGGUCACUGGUCAUUAAGCAGCAAUGGAAGCACCCCAGGUUCCAGCAGUUCUAGGCGCUGGGAGCUAACAGUAAAGAAGAGCAACACAGCCCCUCUUCUCUUAGCCUGGUUUUCAUGGCUCUUUGCUUGCGGGGUGGGGAGAGGAGAAAAGUAAAAAGAAAAAGAGAGAGACCAACAUGAUUAUGUGUUAGUACAAAUCCAGAGCCUUCACGCUUCAGGAGAGAGACCAGGGAGCUGGGACCCUGGAGCAGGCCUCACAGAGAGCGGCAGGCUGGAAUUCUGCAGGAGCGCUGUGCGCCUGUGCGAUGUGGAGAGGGCGCCCAUGGGAAAGGGGAGAUGAGCUGCAGUGUGGUUGGUUGGAAGUGCAGUGGAAUCUGGUCUGGCUAGAAUUUCCUGGGGCAUCAAAGGGCUAUGUCACUGCCCCAAAGUAUAUUUAACAGCUUGCUAUGUUUUAGGAACUUGCCAGAAAUGCAGCAAGCUUUUUUUUGAGUAAUGUUUGAAUUUAAAUAUGUGGAUUUGAGUAAAAAAGCAAAUGGAUACUCUUCCGCCUAAAACUAGGGCUUGGAAAUAUAUUUCAGGUAAUGAAGCUCGAUCUGUUUGUAUGUGUCUAUGUAUAAGACAGAAUAUUAUUUUCCUCCUUUUAUGUUUGAUAAGGAAUAAGAUGUUUUAUACUUUUCUGGGGUCUUAAAUGCAUUAUCUAUAAGACCAUAAUACUUUUGAAAAUUUUUGUUUAUUUUAGGCGUAAAAUAACAAAAGAACUUAAAGUUCUUUUGGAAGAGCUCCAAAGUUAAAAUUGCAAGAUCUCAUAUAGAUAAAAAGUUUCCUAAAGAAUAGUACAUUUGUAAGAUUAUAUAGAGAGCUGAUGGCUUUGCUAAGAAACUAUUUUGAGCAACCUAAAAAAAUACAACUAUUUCUGUGCAUUUUUCUUAAAGUGUUCAAGGUAGUAAGAGAGAGAAGAGCCUUUUCUAAAUAUGCAUGCAAUUUUAGGGGCUGAAGUAGGAAGCUCUAAUAGACCGAGGUCCCUUUAACUUGAGACCUUGGAAAAAGGAAGAGAUGGAAGGGUCUAUUAGAGUUUCUUUGAAUUUAUAUGAAUCAUAGAUUUGACCAAAGUGGUUACAAAAGGCAUCAAAAGUAAGAUAAUCGGGAUUUUAAAUGUAAUAAUAUCGAUUCCAAUAUCCUCAACUCUAUGGCAUUGCCAAUGAGGAGGCCAAAAUGCAUUGUGUUUUGUGAAAGGUUGGUGACUUGAAAGUUCAGAGUGUAUGUAAUGACCAGGCAUUGUGGAAUCAUCUUGUAAUACUGUUUAGCAGUUAAAAAAAUAAAAGGAAAAGAAAACGGUGCAAUUUUGGACAGUUUUUUAAAAAAAAUUUUACAAAUCCUGCAAAUCAUAGGUUGGUUACCAGUAGACUUCCUGACUCGGCCAUGAUUGCUGUAUUCUCUGUGUAUUCCUUUAAAACACCAGGCACUUUAUAAUUUUGUCUAUAAUUGUUUAUGUAUAUUUUCUCCACAAAAUGUGUUUAGGGCAACUUAUUGCUGAAUUACCUUAACCCACUUGCCAUCUUUAAACUUCGUGUAUGAAUAAGUGUCAGCUGCAAGACGCGCUAGGACACUAUGUAAUUUUUUCCAGGAGCCUUCUUAUUCAAAAUACCUUUCAAACUCAGUGCAUAAAAAUAGCAUGCUACUUCCAGUUGCAGGCUUUUGAAGCUGGAGAAGACUUGUUUUUCACAUGAAGAAACUGAGUCUCAGGAAGAUGAAAUGACUUUCUGUUAAGUGAUAAUGAGGAUCUUUAGACUCCAAAGCAAAUGCUGCCAACUUGAAGAUGCUCGUCCCCAAUUCUGGAAAUUCAAUUUACAGAUGCUUCUAUCACAAUCCUAUUCUUAGUAAUGUUUUAUUCUAUAGACGUCAGAAAUAAAUGUCUACUUGCCAUCUGUACGUGUCAUACAAACAUUUUGGCUCCAAAUACAAGUACAAGUAACAAGUUAAUAUGGAUACAAGUAGCAAGUUAAAGUGUAUUGAUCUCAGAACUGAGUUUUAACCAAUAGAAUGUUUCGUUUAUUCAUUGCUAUUUCUGCAUACCUGCUGUGUUUUAGCAUUGUGAUAAAUCUGGGAAUUAAAUAUGAA